rnacentral:misc_RNA from 1 species
CACAACUCCACUGUCUCCUCUUUUCCUCUCUUUAAUUUAAACAACUAGUUUCUAAAAGAGAUUUUCUCCGCAUUAGUUUUUGUUUGUUGGUGUCUAUAUUUUCAUCCAAAAUCAUGCCUGCCGGAGGUUUCUCGGCCAAGCCGGCCGGAGGGGUGGAGUUCGAGGCGAAGAUAACGCCGAUCGUCAUCAUUUCCUGCAUAAUGGCUGC